ensembl:lncRNA
CCAUGGUGACGGUUGCCAUGGUGCCCGCAGGCGGCAGGGGUGACCAUCGUGGACCACCACGCGGUGACCGAGUCCUUCCAGCGGCACCUGGGGGCGGAGCUGGGGGCGCGGGGGGGGACCCCGGCCGACUGGGCCUGGAUCGUGCCCCCCCUGGGGGGCAGCCUCACCCCCGUCUUCCACCAGGAGAUGGUCAACUACCAGCUCAGCCCCGCCUUCCGCUACCAGGUGGGGCUGCCCCAUAGAUCCGUGGGGCCAGACACCCGUCAUCCGUAGAGCCAUGGCCCCAUAGAGCCACUGACCCAUAGAGCCAUCACCCCAUAGACCCAUCGCCCCAUCAAUUCAUCGCCCCAUAGAGCCAUCGCCCCAUAGAGCCAUCACCAACUACCAGCUCAGCCCCACCUUCCACUACCAGGUGGGGCUGCCCCAUAGAUCCGUGGGGGCAGAGACCCUUCACCCUAGAGCCAUCACCCCAUAGAGCCACUGACCCAUAAAGCUAUCGCCCCAUAGAGCCAUCACCCCAUAGAGCCAUCGCCCCAUAGAGCCACUGACCCAUAGAUCCAUCACCCCAUAGAGCCAUCGCCCCAUAGCUCCAUCACUCCAACUACCAGCUCAGCCCCACCUUCCACUACCAGGUAGGGCUGCCCCAUAGAUCUGUGGGUCCGCAGACCCUUCACCCCAUAGAAACCAUCACCCCAUAGACCCUUCACCCCAUAGAGCCAUCACCCCAUAGAGCCAUCACCAACUACCAGCUCAGCCCCACCUUCAGAUACCAGGUGGGGCUGCCCCAUAGCUCUGACCCAUACAUCCGCUGACCCAGAGCCCCAUAGCUCCAUGAGCUCAUAGCCCUACCACCCCAUAGCUCCACCACCCCAUGGCUCCGCUGCCCCAUAGCUCCAUCGCCCCACUGCAGCACCCCAUAGCUCCAUCACCCCACUGCACCAUCCCAUGUCUCCACCACCCCAUGGCUCCAUCACCCCACAGCUCCAUCACUCCAUGGAACCACCAUCCCACGGCUCCACCACCCCAUAGCUCCAUCACCACCCCAUGGAACCCCCAACCCCCCCGGCUCCCCAGCCCCACAACCACCCCUCCCCACACUGCCCGCCCCACAGCCCGACGCCUGGAAGGUCUACGUCCCCAAGGGCACCACCAUCACCAGGAGAAAGACCUUCAAGGAGGUGGCCAACGCCGUGAAGAUCUCGGCCAAGCUGAUGGGUCACGUCAUGGCCCGGAGGGUGAAGGUCACCAUCCUCUACGCCACCGAGACCGGCAAAUCCCGCACCUACGCCUGGAACCUCUGCCAGCUCUUCCGAAGGGCCUUCGACCCCAAGGUUGGGGGGCGACUUAUGGGGCGGGGGGGUCUGGGUGGGGGGAGGCGCCGCCGGAGGCGUGGUGGACCUCCAUCCUGACGUCCCCACCUCCCCGAAGGUCCUGUGCAUGGACGAGUACGACGUGGUGGCCCUGGAGCACGAGACGCUGGUCCUGGUGGUCACCAGCACCUUCGGGAAUGGGGACCCUCCGGAAUGUGGGGAGGUGGGGUGGGAGGAACUGGGAUGGACUGGGAUGGGAUGGAAUGGGAUGGGAUGGGGACAGGAUGGGAGGAACUGGGAUGGGAUGGGGAUGGGGUGAGGAUGGGAG